UACGGGGGGGGCAAGCGUUGUUCGGAAUUACUGGGCGUAAAGGGCCAGUAGGCGGCCAACUAAGUCCGACGUGAAAUCCCAAGGCUUAACCUUGGAACUGCGUCGGAUACUGGAUGGCUUGAAUUCGGGAGAGGGAUGCAGAAUUCCAGGUGCAGCGGUGAAAUGCGUAGAUAUCUGGAGGAACACCGGUGGCGAAGGCGGCAUCCUGGACCGAUAUUGACGCUGAGGCGCGAAAGCCAGGGGAGCAAACGGG
rnacentral:rRNA from 1 species